AGCUGGCAGGGAAAGCAGGGGCAGAAGUCUUGGCACAUGAGUUGGCAGCCCCAAGGGGGUUUCUGUGAUCCAACCUGUCAAGUAACAUUGUUUGUGUUUUGUUUUUGUUUUUUACCAUUAAAUUUCCUAGCUUUUUGAACAGGGAAAGAUAUGUUGCUGGUGGGAGUUAGUAGAAAUUUAGGCAGUUGUACGUGUCAUGUCCUGUAACUUGCACACUGAGCCAAUUAGCCUUCCCCUCCCAUCAGCUGGGUCCCACCAGCCCUGGUUUGGCCCCACCUCAGAAGCCAGGUCCCUGAGCUAUUCACUGUGUUCCCUACUUCAACCUGGCUCCCUCCCCCAAUACUGUACCCAGGGCCCUCCACUGUAAUCAUCUCCAUGGUGUCCUCACUCCCUGGUAUACAAAUAUUUCUAUUGCUGUUACUUCCCCCCUCCCAUAACCCAACUCACAAGCAGUUCCUGGAGCGAAGAGCAGCUAUGUUACAGUGGAGUGGUGUUCCUGGUCAUGUAUCACAAUGGUUGGCAGGUGAAGUUUGUCACAUAGCCAGCGAGAGAAAUCACAAACAGGGUUUCUGUUCCAAAGUACAGUUUUAUGCUUGAGAGAGAGAUCCUUUGACCCCUGUCCAAUAGCUGCACCCCAGCUCAGAGAAACAGUGAGGUGUUUUGAACCAAACUACCAUAACCCUUUGAAACUUUGUAGGUGAGCCAAAGUCCCACUAUGUUUUGUGUUCGUAAUUCUUUGUCUUAAAGAUCAUCUUAGGUUCAACCUAAACUGACCCUAGUGCUUUGUGUUAAACUAAUACAGGUUGAACCUUUCUAGUUCGGUACCCUCAGGACCUGACCAGUGCCGAACCACAGAAUUUGCCAAACCACAGGAAGUUAAUACUAUAGCGAGGGGGUCUCUUUAAAUUUUUAUCUCACCAAGGCAAAUAAACAGAACAAAACUUGCAAUGCCACCUAGCCAAGGCUUACCGAUUCUCUUCAUAGCAAAGUGUUAGUGUUGUUGCACAAUGUUACUGUAUUGGCACAAGAAAAUAAGUAUAUAAAGUGUAAAAAACAUAAAAUAAUAUGAAAAAGAAAUAGAUGAUAAUACACGUAAAUCUAUAAUUUACUCAUCUAAAAUGAUGCCUGAAUUCCACUUCCAAAGUGAUGUGACAAGAACUGCUAACAUUCGAGUUACAUCUGGCGUCUCUGCUGUAGGUAUACCCAGGGUAGAUGAAGUGGAGACAACAUGAUUUUCGACUGUAGAAUGCUGCUUACCACUCCUCUUCACUACCUUUAACCAAUCUUCCAGCUUGGCUUGUCUCAUGUAUUUUGGUUUUUCUUUAAUGAGUUUUUCUCUUAUCAUGUAGAGAGACAUGAUUUCUUGCUCAGAAAUUAAAUGUCUUUGCUCCAGUCCUUCUAUUACAUUUGUUGCCAACUGAAUGCAUUUGUCGAUAGAAAUUUUUUCUUCGACAUCCUCAUCACCAUCACUGUGUUCUUCGUUAUCUUUGUUUUUUCCCUGCUGUACCAUUUGCACAAUUUCUUCAACUGUCAUUUGACUAGCAAUUGGUGCAUCUUUGUCAGCUUCCACCCAGUCUAGUAAAUUUUCCUCUGCCAAAUCCUUGGCUAGCUCAAGCACUACAGGGUGGGACAUACCACUGGCAUACUCCAUUAACUCACUAACAGUUUUUUGGUUUUCAGACACUUGAAAUCCAGUGAACUCAGACUCGUCAUUGACAUCAGGACUGUCCUAAAACAUUAGGGCUGGCCACAAUUUGUGCCAUCCAUUCUUCAGAGUAGAUGGAGUUACUCUUUCCCAGUCUCUAGCUAGUGUCCAAAUCAUAUCCUUGAGGUUAAAUUCUUUCCUAAAUGUUCUCAAACUCUUCCCAUCAUUAAGCAGUACUAGCAAUUGGUGCAUAAACUUGGACCUGUACAUACCCUUCAGGGAUCACAAGGCUGAAUCAGCGAGGUACAGUUUGGGGGUAAAUACAGUCCCACCACAUUAUCUUUGAGCAAUGGGCUCUUGCCUCCGGUACAAAAUAUUUCUCAAACCACUUGAGACAUAGAUUAAUCGUUAUCCAUCCCUUUUUCUUGCCACAGUAUAUUACUGGGAAUAUUUUCACCUCUUUGAAUGCCCUUGGGUUUACACAUUUUCCAGUAACCAUGAGCUUGCAUUUGUGCAUGCCUGCUGUGUUGCUACAACCAAGGACAGUUACCCUGUCCUUCGACUACUUCGUACCAGAUGGUGGCCCCUCCGCAUCAGAAGCCAACCUUUUUUUAGGCAUACAACACCAGUAGAGAGCAGUUUCAUCGGCAUUCUAUACCUGCUCUGGGAAUAACGUCUCAUUUGCAAGUAACUCUGCAAAUUUGUCAAUGUACUUAGCGGCAGCUUCCAUAUCUGCACUUCUUUUUUCACUGCACACACCAUGUAGAUGAAUGCCAUCCCUGUUUUUAAAUUUCUGAAUCCAUCCUUGCAAAUAGUCACACUCAUGCUGCAGGUUAAGUUCUUUGUGGAAUAUUUUUGUUUGUGCCACCAUCAUCUCACCUGAAAUUCUAACACCUUCGUUCUACAAAGCUUGAACCAAUGUAUAAGCGUACUAUCUAAAUCACUGUUUUUCCCCUCCUUCAAUGUCUUAUGAACACUCAUACUUCUUUUUACUGUCACGUUCGGCAAAAAACUUAAGGAUUUGAUUCUUUUGCUUCUUCAAAUCAUACACUGUAAAUGACCCUACAUUGUAAAACUCUCACAAGGCACGUACCGAUGUGCCCUUUUCCAAUUUCUGCAGCACUUCCACCUUUUGCUGUGUGGAUAUUGACACAUGCUUACGCUUAGCAGCAUUACCAACACUUCCACUGCUUGCUGGACAUAUUUAGGGGUAAAUCAGAGCUAAAUAACAGCACAGAACACUGACAGCCAGGACUGGCGGGACUUCGCUGGACCAUGGGAAUCUUGGCCCCACCCAUGAUAAGCGCACAUUCGGCUAACUAAAACCAUGCUGGACCACGGAUGUUGCCGGACUAGAGAAGUUCAACCUGUAGUCAGGAAAAGGUCUGUAACCAAUCAGUAGGAUUGUACUUAAUCAUCCACUUUGAUUUUACUCUGACUUAGCUGACUUAGUCCCAAUACCCCAAAAGGGACCACUUGUAAUUAAUAUGGGGAAAAUGUUUUCUGUGAUUAAUAAAACAAUAAUCUAUCAGAAGAUGCUUUUAGAUUAUCAAUCAUAGAAACCAGAUACCAAUCUGCCUGAAGCGUCAGGUGAUCAGACUGAGGCCGCAGGACCAAUAGGGGAGGAGAUGAAGGAGCACACCAAGUAACUAAGUUUUAAAGCUUUAUUAAUAAAAUAACAGCGGUGAGCGCUGGGGGCUCCCCACAUCAUUCGGGGAAGAAAGAAAGCAUUAGUGCCCACGCCCUAACCACUUUCAUACUCUCACAUGCACAACCCAAGGCUGGCCAAGCCUGGGUGUAAUGUCAUAAGAAAAUGGGGAAGGGUGGACGAGAGUUCUGUCCUGUACACAGGCCGUCCAGGGUCCGCUGUUUGAUCUCAAAUUUGCUUCAGCUCUCAGGAAGGUUUUAAGUCCUGGGGUCUUUUGGGGGUGUUUCGUUCAGGGACCUCUGUCCCCCGUGCUCAUUGUACCAGUCCAAACCGGCUUUCUGUGGCUUCCUCAGCUUUUCCAAAACACACCAGCUUCAGGGACACACUUCUGUUAUUUUCCCACUCACUGGCCUUCGCUGUCUCACUGGCUUUUGCAGCCCCUGCAGUUCUAUUCAGCUGAAUCCUCCUUUCUCACAGCUGGACUGGGUUGGAAUCCAGGCUCCUGUCUUUCUUGGCAGGCAGCCGAGAGUUGGUUGUGUGCUGUGGCCUUGGGCUGGAGUCAGCAUCUUAUCUUCGAACCUAUCUGGAGUGUCGAAUUUACCUGUUCCUUUCUCCCUUCCUCCCCCUUCGGCCUCUAGCAACCUGCAAAGAAAUCUUUCACUCCACACUCACACCUUCAACCCCUCCCAAGAUCCUUUCCAAUGCGUAUAAAAGUAUUAGCAAUUUACAAUGCUGGUGCUUACCCAGGGGACCCCCUGGGUAAUUUUACCGUGACAAUAGGCCCUGGGAAUUGGUGGGGGUGGAUGUAAUAUGGCCAUUACCAACAACAAACAAGGGAUACCAGUAAAUCUUGGCAGUCACGGAUUAUCUUACAAAAUGGGUGGCAUAAGUCAGCACAUGAAGUGGCAAAGAAAAUCGAUAAAAUUAUAAAUUGAUUUGGAUAUCUAUAGUGGAUACUGACAAAUCUUGGUUCUGGAUUCAGUAAUGAGGUAAUGAUUUAUUUUUGAGAUUUUUUUCACUAUUUCUUCAACCACACUAUUGGAUCAUGGAUAUUUGACACUGACUAUGGGCUUCAUUGUCUUCAUUAUUAUAUAUAUUUUUUUACUUUAAAUUGUUGCUGACAGGUUUUUCUGUCUACUUAUUCACCAAUUUUUUUUAUAACAAACUGAUUGCAAACCUAUUUUUCCAUGUAGUCAUUCUAAAAGAUAGAAUAGGAAACCACAGUAAUUACACGUAAAAUCAGUUAAAUAGGAAGGAAUAUGUUCCUUCUCCAGAAAAUAGGAGAAGGAACAUACAUGCAGACAUUUCCAAAGGAAACUUUAUGGCAUUUUUUUUCUUUCACUUUAACCUGGCCCUUUGUGGGGAAAAAUGGGGGUAUAACAUAGCUUCAUCAGCUCAUAUCUCCCACAAACCAAUGGACUGGAUGAAAACACCAACAAAUCCAUCAAAUUUUAGAGGGGAAAAUUUCAAUACUAAACACAAGUAGCAUGCACCAGACCAUAAGCUACAUAUUGGUAAUACCUCUUCAAGGUCAAUUUAUUACAUUGCAAGUCUUUUUAUUGUAUUACAUGUGAAAUGAAAAAUAAUCGAAGCCAUGCACUGUGAUGUUCUCCUCCUUAGACCUUCUUGAUUCCAUAUAAUCUAUCUCAAUCAAGACAUCGUGUUUACUAUUUAUUUUCACAAACUAAUCAAUCACCAUUUCUUACAGAGCACUGCAGAAGUUGGUUGAUACCACUGGGAGUAAUUGGGAUGAAUUUUUUGAUAACCUUUUAUUUUCUUUGAAAUCUAAACAGCAGAUGAGAACAAAAAUGUCACGCUUUCAACUGUAGUAUGGCUUUGAAGCAACAUUCCGUACAAGGGCUCAGAAUUAUACAGUAAGUGUAUUUAAGUACCAUCAGUACUUAAGUACUAAGUAGUAGCGCAAACGGUGCUAUAUAGAGGAAUGAGUAAAUAUGGUAAGCAUGUACUGAAAUUGGGAAAUACAGCUGUAGCCAAUUAGUUCAUUUUAUCAUUUAUUUAUCAUUGUAAUGUGGUGUUCUGGCCCAUUCAUAUGCUAUUUCAUACAUAAUAAAUGCUAAAUAGAUUUAAGUUACUAGGCCAUAGGUUUAAGCAUGCUUGACAUGAGUGGGUGAUUUAGAAUAACGCUACAUCAGUAAGGUCUUGAGAUUACUGCAAAAGAUGUGCCAAAAGGUAAUGUUAUGAAAAAAUAGAUUUAAAUAAACUGCAAGCUAUUGUCCAAGAUCACGAGACCCCUGAUUGUAUCAUCAUGAAAAGUCCUGUUCUGACUGCAGGGUAUAUGUUAUGCAUAGAUGCUAAUGAGAAUAAGAGGAACAAAGACCAACCUAUGAAAAAUGAGGCACCCCAAUAUUCCUGGGGUGUGGAAGUACAGAUAAGGAAAAGAGGGUUUUCCUUAGGAUAGCUUUGAGGAUGUGAGUAUGACUAAAUUCGUAGUCAUUGCAUGCAUUUUUGUAGGAUUUACAUAUGCAUGGGUAAUUGUAACUUUACUUAUUGCUUUAAUAAAACUUGUAGUACAGAUAAAACUUGUGAGUAUGUCUGUAGUCAAUAUCCUUGGACUUUGUGCGUUUCUAAAGUCUCCAAAUUUGAGAAAAGCACCAGAGAUAAUGUUCACUUUGAGCUUGAAACUGUAGCAACAGGAGCUGAAGCCAUGAUAGUGUAAUACAAAAUUACUAAAUUAAAUUUAAAUAAAAAAAGAACUCUACACAGUGUAAUCUAGAUUGCAUGGUUUGCCUAAUUGACAAGUAUAACUGCAUUUUUCUUUUUUUCAAAGAACACAGACUGGAAUGCAAAAUGAUGUAUUAUUUCUUCUUUACAGUGCAUCAGAUCGUUCAUCUACUGCAAAACUGGAAAAUCCAUAAUGGGACUCUGGAAAAUAAAAAUUGGGGAACACAGGAGACAAGCAGUUGGACACAACAGUGGGCCACCUCAUUCUAAAAUUAUUCAGUGUCAAAUUUUGAUUAUUUCUUAAUGAUGUGUUAUUAUGAUGUGUUUUCUAAUUAAAAGUAUUAGUUUGCAGAAACAUAUUUAGAGCAUAAAGACAUCAGUACUAUGGAAACCACACAAGAGACUCUAACUAUGUAUAGAAGAAAAAUCACCAUUCUUUUAAUUAAAGAGUCAGGUAAUAACCUUGUUUACAAGUACCUAGUGAGACCAGAGUAUAUGGGAAGAUAACAGGAAGAGUGGAAUAAUGUCAUAUCACAAAGUUAUCAGUAGGUUAUGUCACAGGUUUGGUUCUCUAAGGGUCUCUCUGCAUGUCUUUGAUUAGUGAAAAAUGGGGAGUGCAUAGAUGGUUGACAUUGAAAGAGCAAUGAAAUCUAAUUGGAUAUAGUUAUAUCCACCAGCAGUCAACUAAAAGUUUGAGAUAAAUAGACAAGGGUACCAAAUAUAAUUUAAAAUAUGACCCCCCAAAAAGAAAAAUAUUUGCAAAUCAGUAACUUAAUACUUGAUAUAAUUGACAUUCAUGAAUAAAUCAAGAUUUCUAUUUAGAGUUUUGGUCAUAAGGUAAUCAUCAUUUGAUUACAUUAUAUUGAUUUUACAGAGAGCAUGAAGGAGUACUGCACCUUGUCAUAUGCAAAAAUGAAAAUUGCAUAGUUAACACCAUGUUCGAACAGAUAAGUAAACAGAAUACUGUAUGAUUGUUUAUAGCACAUGAACAAAAGUCAUGGCCCAAGACCCAGCCAGGUCUAACCUGAUGGAAUAACUUUGCUAAGGAUCAGGAUUGUUGUAAUAAUUCCACGUUAGUAAAUAUUUCCAGUGUUGCUGACUAACUUUGACUAAUGAUUAUAUGUUCAAGGAAUAUUAUUUUUUAAUUUUUUGAAUUAAUUGAAAUUAUAUUUAGCAUAAUUAGUUCUGUGUCAUCAUUUUUUCAUCUAUUACUUAUCAAAGGUACAGUUUGAGUCUUGUAAGAGGUGAGCAUAUGUGCCCUACCUUCCAGAGGGAACCAGUGAAAACAUCCUAAGUGAUAAGAAAGAGUAUGACUGCAGAAAGUGUGUAUAGUUGGGAUGUUUCCAAAAAAUGUAUAUAGUAUGAUUAUUUUCUUAUGGUAAAUAUUUUGAUUUUCUUGGAAUUAUACUGUUGGAAUACAAAUGUGUAAUAGAGAAGUUCAAUUUUAAUGUUCAUUUGAGUAAAGGAAAAUAUAUGUUAAUCACUGUUUCUAAAAA